rnacentral:rRNA from 1 species
UACGAAGGGGGCUAGCGUUGCUCGGAAUCACUGGGCGUAAAGCGCACGUAGGCGGAUCGUUAAGUCAGGGGUGAAAUCCUGGAGCUCAACUCCAGAACUGCCUUUGAUACUGGCGAUCUUGAGUUCGGGAGAGGUGAGUGGAACUGCGAGUGUAGAGGUGAAAUUCGUAGAUAUUCGCAAGAACACCAGUGGCGAAGGCGGCUCACUGGCCCGAUACUGACG